rnacentral:lncRNA from 1 species
UCCAUUAGGCACGCCGUGCUUCCCUCACAAGACACAGGCAGGCUGUAAGGAAGGAAUACAUGUAUUUCUGGUGAAGUCAGUGGAGUUACCUCUGUGUAAUUCUGGAAUAAUCAGUUGGAGGCAACCACGGACUGCUCUGUGCGCACACGCUCGGUGUUUCUCAUACACAGAGAACCUUGCUGUGUUGGAGCAUCUAUUCUUCUCUGGAGGAAUAUGUAAGUAACACACAACUAACAAAUUUUUACUGGGAGACUUUCCACUGUUCUAGGCAGGAAAUAUCCAC